rnacentral:rRNA from 1 species
UACAGAGGGUGCGAGCGUUGUCCGGAAUCACUGGGCGUAAAGGGCGCGUAGGUGGCCUGAUAAGUAGGGGGUGAAAUCUCGAGGCUCAACUUCGAGGCUGCCUCCUAAACUGCCAGGCUUGAGCAGAGUAGAGGCAGGUGGAAUUCCCGGUGUAGCGGUGGAAUGCGUAGAGAUCGGGAAGAACAUCGGUGGCGAAGGCGGCCUGCUGGGCUCUUGCUGACACUGAGGCGCGACAGCGUGGGGAGCAAACAGG